UCCACCUCAGUCUGGCGAAAGACAGUCUGGGAAAAAAUAAGUAUGGAACGCGUACGAAAAAUAAUGGCGAGCACCGCUCACAGAGUACUUUUUACGCUAUCAUAGACAUCUUUGGCUUUUGUCAUCUGUCAGUGUCAGUCAGUCAAUCGUUUAGUUUGAAAAAUAAUUUCAAAUCAUAAAUAAAUUAAGAUUUAACAGUUAUUUAUAUAUUAUUAUUACUGUGGAUAAGUGCAGUGUUUGUGUGGAGGUACCUAACUAUUAGUGUUGCUUGAUAUUAUUGAUAAUAAUUAUGUUUUAUAAAACUUGUGAAAUAUGUGGUUUAAGAGCCGCUAGCCGGUCGUAUAGAUGGCCAAAAGAGAAUUUUCAUGGCCAAAUUUCCACUGGAUGAGGAAAGAUGUAAACAGUGGGUUAAGAUGACCGGUAAGGAAGAUCUGGUUUAUGUGCCUAUUGAAAAGCUACAUCAACUUAAACGAAUUUGUGGCAAUCAUUUUCUACCACAACAUUUUAAGAACACAAUUGAAAA